UGCGCUAGGACCCGCCGCCGCCGGUCGCCGAGGGCUGGUAGGAAGGGAGGAGCGGGAGCGAAAGGGCCCCGGAGACUGGCGCCCGCCGGGGCGCAGCGCGGCAUGUAGCUGCGGGCUCCCGCGCGAGGGUGUCGGCCCGGCCCCGCCAUGGCUGGGACGGACAGCGGGAACCUGAAGACGGUAAGGCUGUGGCGGGACGCCGCCCUGCGCGCCAGGAAGCUGCGGAGCAACCUGCGCCAGCUCAGCCUCAGCGCGGCCAGGGGCUGCCCGGGGACCGACCAGCUCGACUCUCCCGACGCGCCCCAGCUCGUGCUGCCAGCCAACAUCGGGGACAUUGAGGUGCUGAACCUGGGCAACAACGGCCUGGAGGAGGUGCCCGACGGGCUGGGCUCGGCGCUGGGCAGCCUCCGCGUCCUGGUCCUGCGCCGGAACCGCUUCACCCGGCUGCCCCCGGCGGUGGCCGAGCUGGGCCAUCACCUCACCGAGCUGGACGUGAGCCACAACCUGCUGAGCGUCCUAAGCGCCGAGGUGGUGAGUGCCCUGCGCGAGCUGAGGAAGCUCAACCUCGGCCACAACCAGCUGCCCACCCUGCCCGCCCAGCUGGGCGCGCUGGUCCACCUGGAGGAGCUGGAUGUCAGCUUUAACCGUCUGGCGCACCUGCCCGACUCCCUCUCCUGCCUCUCCCGCCUGCGCACCCUCGACGUGGACCACAACCAGCUCACGGCUUUUCCGUGGCAGCUGCUGCAGCUGGCGGCCCUGGAGGAGCUCGACGUGUCCAGCAACCGGCUGCGGGGCCUGCCUGAGGAUAUCAGUGCCCUGCGUGCCCUCAAGAUCCUCUGGCUGAGCGGGACUGAGCUUGGCACCCUGCCCAGCGGCUUCUGCGAGCUGGCCAGCCUGGAGAGCCUCAUGCUGGACAACAACAGGCUGCAGGCUCUGCCCGCCCAGUUCAGCCGCCUGCAGCGACUCAAGAUGCUCAACCUCUCUUCCAACCUCUUGGAGGAGUUCCCUGCCGCGCUGCUGCCCCUGGCUGGUCUGGAGGAGCUCUACCUUAGUCGCAACCAGCUCACUUCCGUGCCGUCCCUGAUCUCGGGCCUGGGCCGUCUUCUCACCCUGUGGCUGGAUAAUAACCGGCUCCGCUACCUGCCUGACUCCAUCGUGGAGCUCACGGGCCUGGAGGAGCUGGUCCUGCAGGGGAACCAGAUCGCUGUGCUGCCAGACAACUUUGGCCGGCUCUCCCGGGUGGGCCUGUGGAAGAUCAGGGACAACCCGCUGAUCCAGCCCCCCUACGAGGUCUGUAUGAAGGGGAUCCCCUACAUCGCAGCUUACCAGAAGGAGCUGGCUCAUUCCCAGCCAGCGGUCCAGCCCCGCCUCAAGCUGCUCCUGAUGGGCCAUAAAGCUGCAGGAAAGACCCUGCUCCGUCACUGCCUCACCGAGGACAGAGUGGAGGGGAACCAAGGAGGAGGGGACAAGGAGAAGAGCCACCCGCCUUCACCUCCUCCCGUGAGCAAGGGCAUCGAGGUGACCAGCUGGACAGCGGAUGCCUCCCGGGGCCUGCGGUUCAUCGUGUAUGACUUAGCCGGGGAUGACAGUUAUGAGGUGAUCCAGCCCUUCUUCCUCUCCCCGGGGGCCCUUUAUGUGCUGGUGGUGAACUUGGCCACCUAUGAGCCGCUCCGCUUUCCCACCACCGUGGGCUCCUUCUUGCAUCGGGUCGGGGCCCGCGUGCCUCACGCCGUGGUGUGCGUUGUGGGCACCCACGCCGACCUCUGCGGGGAGCAGGAGCUGGAGGAGAAGUGUCUGGACAUCCACCGCCAGAUCGCCCUGCAGGAGAAGCGUGACGCCGAGGGGCUGAGCCGUCUGGCCCGGGUGGUGGAUGAGGCGCUGGCCCGGGACUUUGAGCUCCGCUCCGCCAGCCCCCACGCAGCCUACUACGGUGUGUCCGACAAGAACCUUCGGCGGCGCAAGGCCCACUUUCAGUACCUGCUCAACCACCGGCUGCAGAUCCUCUCCCCUGUGCUGCCCGUGAGCUGCAGGGACCCACGCCAGUUACAGCGCCUGCGGGACAAACUGCUCUCAGUGGCCGAGCACCGGGAAAUCUUCCCCAACCUCCACAGAGUACUGCCUCGGUCCUGGCAGGUGCUGGAGGAGCUGCACUUCCAGCCCCCUCAGGCGCAGCGGCUCUGGCUCAGCUGGUGGGACUCGGCUCGCCUGGGCCUGCAGGCCGGCCUAACCGAGGACCGGCUGCAGAGCGCCCUCUCCUACCUGCACGAGAGCGGGAAGCUGCUCUACUUUGAGGACAGCCCGGCCCUCAAGGAGCACGUCUUCCACAACCUCUCCCGCCUCAUCGACAUCCUCAACGUCUUCUUCCAGAGGGAUCCUUCCUUGCUGCUGCAUAAGCUGCUCCUGGGCACCAGCGGCGAGGGCGAGGCUGAGAGCCGGGGUGAAAGCUCCCCGCUGAUGGCGCCGCCCGCCCCAAGCCAGGAUGCGCUCCGGGCCACCCAGCUCCAUCAUUACGUGGAGGGCUUUCUGCUGCAUGGGCUCCUGCCGGCCCACGUCAUCCGGCUGCUGCUGAAGCCUCACAUCCAGGCUCAGCAGGACCUGCAGCUCCUGCUGGAGCUGCUGGAGAAGAUGGGACUCUGUUACUGCCUCAACAAAGCCAAGGGCAAGCCUCUGAAUGGGUCCACGGCCUGGUACAAGUUCCCGUGCUAUGUGCAGAACGAGGUGCCCCACGCGGAGGCCUGGAUUAACGGGACCAACCUGGCCGGGCAGUCCUUUGUGGCUGAGCAGUUGCAGAUUGAAUAUAGUUUUCCCUUCACCUUUCCACCCAGCUUGUUUGCACGCUACAGCGUCCAGAUCAACAGCCAUGUGGUGCACAGGUCGGAUGGCAAACUUCAGAUCUUUGCAUACAGAGGGAAAGUCCCUGUGGUGGUGAGUUACAGACCUGCCAGGGGGGUCCUGCAGCCGGACACCCUGUCCAUUGCCAGCCACGCAUCCUUACCGAACAUAUGGACGGCAUGGCAAGCCAUAACCCCCUUAGUAGAGGAACUGAAUGUCCUACUUCAGGAAUGGCCUGGACUGCACUACACCGUGCACAUUCUCUGUUCUAAGUGCCUUAAGAGAGGGUCACCCAAUCCACACGCUUUCCCAGGAGACAUGUGUUCUGGAGUAAAGAAGCAGUCCCCACUUUGGGGGUACAGGUAUCAGAGGGUGGCAGCAAAAGGGGAGUUGCUGAGUCAGCCCAGACCAGAAGGCGUGGCAGAGAUCAUUUGCCCCAAGAAUGGCAGCGAGCGAGUGAAUGUUGCCUUGGUUUACCCACCCACACCGACUGUGAUCAGCCCAUGUUCCAAGUAUCUCCAUACUUUCUUGGACAAUUAAGUGGAAAAGAUAGUGCUUCUUUCCCUUAUGCCAUCAUUUUUACUGUACCCAAUCUGUGACUUUAGGAGCACCAAUUUUUAAGGGAAGAACGUUGGUGAAAAGCACAGAAACCAGUGACUUUUAUGGCUGUGGAAUUUCCAUGGAGAAAAGAGCAUCAGAACGCACCUGGACCAUCUUUUGUACCCGGCAAACCCUCCACACUCCCUGGCGUGUUCUGUGAAUUUGAGUGCAUGUGUGUUCAGGGUGCUUUCAGGGAGGAAGCACACCUAGCCUGUAGACAAGGUGGGGAGAGGUGGGGUGGGGGAGGGGGGAAGGAUGGGAGAGAAUGUGGAGCAAAUGUUUUACAACCUGAACCUCAGAACUGUGAUCCUCCAAGGAGAGCGCUACUUGAAGAAAAAAAAAAAAAAAAAAAAAAAAAAAAGUCGAAUGGCUUCUCAGGGAUUUUGUUUUCUGUGCACAUAUAAGCCAUAAUUCCAGUACAGGUGGCAGUAUUUAGAGCACUCAGAUUUCAUUUCUGUUAAAUGUGAAAGAGGGAUCGACUGACCAUUCAUUACUGUUCCGUAACUAGUGUAAAAUAUGUAUAUGUUUAUCUUUAUUUUUAUAAUAUGCAAAUACAUUUAAAUUUAUACAGUUUGAAGCUUCUAGAGUUAGUUAACACUGGGUGCAAUAUUCUGAUGAGAACUGUGCCAAGAUGGGGCUGAUUUCUUACUUUAGCAUAGGACCUUUUGUUUAUUCUUUAAUUCUUUGCAGAUUAAAAAAAAGAUACCUAUCUCUCUGCCCAUGGAUUAAGGGUUGGUUCAUAGAGUUUGAAGAUAAUCAGCAAGAACUUUAAACAUGCAUUUCAGGUCAGGCAGUGUCCGUCCUUUUAAAUAAAGGUCCCUGCCUGUAAACUGUUGGGCCGGGUAGGAGGAUUUUUCCUUUUCGGGUAGGAGGAUUUUUCCUUUUCUUUGCCCCCACGUAUCACUAGUGCUGGGCAGAGUCUUCCUUGCUCCAGGCUUUGUGAUGACUGUGAGAUGUUACUGGGUGAUAGGCUGAUGGAGGCCUGGGGGUUAAGCUUCUUCAGGGGAUGGGGAUUAAGGGAUCCACAAAUCCAAGGAAAAGCAGAGUCUUGCAAUAGCUUCAGAUAAUCAGGAGUCAGUUCUAAAGCAUGUAAAGACUCUGCUAAUAAGUCCUUUCUUUUCUGCCCCCAGAACAGAGUCUGUGAAAGCACUCUGAAAGCCCUCCACAUCUGGUGUCAGACCGUAAGAUAGUGAGUUGCCUAACUGGAGAGCAUAAGCCCACAUUGGUUAUUUUAUAAAUACAGAGCCUCUGAUUGGAUGGUCUACUGCCAAGAACUAGUAAAACCCUGGUUUUAAAAUCUCCACGAGGUAAAACUUAAAAAGCCAACCAACCAAACUGCUCUCUCUUCUCCUCCUCAUCGGGGCCAAACAGCAUCUGCUGCGAUAGUAACACAUUCUUUGAAGAGUGUGCCUGACUCUGUUUACAUCUGCCUCCUAUGCGUGUUGACUGAAAAUGUGUAAAACUGUUUCUCACCCGUUUAAGGCAAGGAAAGUGAGUCAGCUGGUAUUCUUUUACUUCUUCUAUAAAGUAUUGACUCUUGGAAUGCCACAGUAUACGACGUCUCCACAUAUUUUUGAAAGAAGUAACAAAGGAGCAAGCGGCUGCAUUGUGAAAAAUCGCGAAUCAAUUUUUGUAGAUUAUUUUGUGUCCCAGGAGUUAAUAAAGUUAACUCCAGAACCUCAGUUAAGCAAGUAUGACUUCUUAUAAUCAUAAAAUCAAAUGGGAUCAGACUAGUUCUGCAUUUUAAUACUUGAAUAUGACACCUCAAAUUUGCAUUUUCUUUUGGAACAGUCAUGAGAUUCACCUUGUUAAUCCUUUUGUCACAGUUCUCCUGGGCGUGUGUGCAUACGUGUGUGUGUGUAAGUGUAAACUGAAUGGUAACAUUUAAUUGCUUUAUGGACCACUGAAUUGUUGGGCAUAAAAGUUUUUUCAGUCGGCACAGACAGUUCCUGAACUGUCAAAUUAACCGACUUUGACCAGGAAAAGACUUGUAAAUGACUUCAGGCUAACUCCCCAGGGGACCAUAUUAAAUGGAAAAAAAAAGCUCCUUUGGGUGACAUACCCUGCAAAGUAUGUGCUCUUGUCAUGAACACAGAUGCCCACAUUCUUAAUAUCUUAUUUUUGGACAAGUGAUGUUUUGUGCUGUCAUCUGAACCCUAGAGAAGCAGUAUAAGAAGAAAUUUUGGUGUCACAUGUAUUUUAGCAAAAAGGUCAUCAUGAUAGAGGGUCAUGUGACCAAAAGCAGCUCCAGAAAACCUUGAGAACUUGCUUCACAGUCGGGGGAGGGUUGGAGAUACAGAAAACAUUCUGCUCUAUAGGAAUUUUCUUCAUUUAUGCAGGAAAUUCCAUUUUCUCUUUCAACACCUGGGAGACUCAGCCGGGGAGGCUGACAGGCAAUUCAUAAGCACAAGGGGAAUCUUUUCCAACCAAGUCGUCCCUGCCUCGCAAACAAAAGCCCUCCAAGUUUGUUAUGGUUUCUAUUCCUGCAUCUUGUGGUAUCAAAACCACUUCCUGGAAUUGUAAAAGCGCUGCCAGAAUAAAUGUUUUUCCCUCUUCCAAGAAAAAAACGACAGUGCUCAUAUUUGACACUUGUGCACUGGACUCUUUUGAAUGAAUAAAAUGGAAAGGGUUUGGUGUCAUUCCUGAUGAGGUGUG